rnacentral:rRNA from 1 species
GGUGAACGCUGGCGGCGUGCCUAAUACAUGCAAGUCGAGCGAACAGAUGAGAAGCUUGCUUCUCUGAUGUUAGCGGCGGACGGGUGAGUAACACGUGGGUAACCUACCUAUAAGACUGGGAUAACUCCGGGAAACCGGGGCUAAUUCCGGAUAAUAUUUUGAACCGCAUGGUUCAAUAGUGAAAGACGGUUUCGGCUGUCACUUAUAGAUGGACCCGCGCCGUAUUAGCUAGUUGGUAAGGUAACGGCUUACCAAGGCGACGAUACGUAGCCGACCUGAGAGGGUGAUCGGCCACACUGGAACUGAGACAAGGUCCAGACUCCUACGGGAGGCAGCAGUAGGGAAUCUUCCGCAAUGUGCGAAAGCCUGACGGAGCAACGCCGCGUGAGUGAUGAAGGUCUUCGGAUCGUAAAACUCUGUUGUUAGGGAAGAACAAAUUUGUUAGUAACUGAACAAGUCUUGACGGUACCUAACCAGAAAGCCACGGCUAACUACGUGCCAGCCGCCGCGGUAA